GUUCCUCCCAUUUCCACAGGUAGAAAGGGACAAGGAUACUCCAUCUGUCCCUCCUUUGAGGAACAGUUGAGAUCAAAGAGUACAAUCCGAUCCUCAGAAUCAAUUACUCCGGCUUCCUAAGUUCAAAUACAAGAGUCAUUCUUACCUUUCAGCAAGAUCUUCUCUAUGGACCCUAUAAACAACAGAUCACAUUAAUAAGAGCACAGGUACCACUUACCUCAGAGAUGUGAAAGUCUAGCAUACUCUGAUGCAGAAGAAUCAUGUUGGCCAACAAGUUAAGGCUCUGUUGUUGAGAUGGCCUGCAUGGUAGAGGACCAAGCAGACUGUAGGACUUGGGGAGAGAUUGUGAAUACUUAAUUGGAGUUCAAGUGCAGAAAAGCAGGGAUACACCCCAAUGGAGAAGAAGCAGGAGCGGUCUUUGACUCUGACUUGCCCCUUGUAAAAUACAAAAGGAGAAAAAGUGACUUGCUCUCCUUCCUAGGUCAAAGUAGGAGCCUCCUUUGACUUCCCUUGUGCCUGAACCAUGAGAGGGACAACCAUGAGAAGAGCCAUCAGGGAGCUGCCUGAGGUUGGAACUCCUGCAUUCCACACCUAGACUUACUAAUUCCAUCUGACAAAAUUAGCCUUAAAAAUUUUCUCUACCUAAAAGUAGAGUCUUUGUAGGAGGGGCUCCUGGGAAUUGCCCACAGGAGUGAGAGCCAUUCCGCUCAAGAGUGUCAAUCAGCCUUAAGAACGGAAGAGACAUGACAAUGAGCACUGGGUGUGAAAAUAAAAACCCACUCACAGAAGCAUCUUGGUGAUCAGCUGAGGAGUCCAGCUUAUCCAAUCUAUAUUAUCUCAUUAUAUAGUAGAGGAC